UGCUCAUCCUGCAUAAUAAAGUUCAGAUGAAGUUGCCUCGCCUGCCCUGGUCUACUGGGCAUUAGAACUCUGAGGCACAUAAAUACUUCCCUUUGAACAGGUGUUGAAGCUGAGGCAAUGGGGAAAUUAAAUGAGCAGCCCCAGUUCACCCUGAGAAGGAAGCUUACCCAAAAGAUGAUUUUUGGGUAGCAUAAUUCCCAGUGCCACCCCUCUGGAGAAUUUCUGUGUUCCUAAACUGUGGAACAGAUGAAUUAUAGCUCUUAGCUUAUUUGCUGCACUGGGGCAGUAAAGUACAUUGGAAAGAGCACUGCUUCUAGAAUCAAAAAGUAUGAUUUCAGAUCUCACCCUUGGAGCUUACUUAUCUGAUCUCAGAUUCCUGAUGAAAAGACCAAAGCCACGUAGAAACCUUCCAGGGCAAACUCAGGAGAGAAGAGAAACACAAAAAGGAGUGAGAGGACAUGUGUGACCUCCUGGGAGGGAGAAGUCAGAGAACAGCACACUCCUUCACAUCAGCUGAAGAGUGAUGAAGCAAUGGGAGUUGAUUAACAACAGCUUUGUCACAUUUUACCCUUACUACCAGCCCACCCCCAUCUCUCAACCCACACAUACUAUAGGGGAAACUUUGCUUGUUAGCAGCUCUUCCCCACAGGGAGAUUAGAGCAUCAUGGAAAAUUUGCAUGUUACAGAUAAUUAAAAAUAAAUUGUCUCAUAUUAAUAUUUGAACUCCUUAC
rnacentral:lncRNA from 1 species